AACAGCAUCGCCCACGCGCCGCUGCUUCCCCGUCCAGCCGCCGCGUCCCCGCCCCUUGGUCCGUCGAUUUGAUUGCUCCUAGCCGGAAAUCACGCCCACUCCUUCAUCGCCGUCGGACCUCCCACGGUCAGGAUGGAUGGGAGUGAUUCCGUUUCGUGCAAUGUACACGACGUCCUCCGGGGCGUUCGACGACGGGCGGCCACUUCUGCAGUGUGCUUGCCGGGUGCCCGCGGCUAGAUUCACCUCUACUAAGCAAUCAAGCAGAGGCAAAAAAAAAUUGAAGUGCAGAGCAUCUUCGUGUUGCAAGUUGUGAUUUGUCUGAUGCCAUUCGCGAGAGGGAUGGAUCAAAGGGGCGACGCGAGCUGCAUCUUGCGCACCCCCCACUUGGAUCCGCUACCAACCCAUGAGGUGUGCUCGUGCCUGAUCCGGUCUCCACCGCCGCUCCCUCGGCUACCUGCAGCGCGGAGCCUCCAGCUUCGGAACAGUCGCCCCGUCCUCGACCUCCAGCCUGCCUCUAUUUUCAGGAGGGCGCCCGUCACCACCGGCCGCCCGGGUGCAUCCACCGCUCGGUUUAGCUGGAUUUUUCAAGUGCUUGACGACCUCAUAUUUCUCAUGGAUUUGGGAGGAACUCGGAUGGACUUCGUCAGUGGUCUGCAGGGCUGGACGAGGGCACCCAUGGCACAGUUGUUCCGGAAACCUUGACAUCGUAGAAACCAUAAGGCGUCCAGAAACUAACUGCCAAUCAAUUUCAUGUGAAUUUUUUCCUGCAGAAGUUAGUUCUGAAAUGUAGACCGUGAUUCUAGUUCCAUGUAUUUAUGUCUGUCCAAAACGUGCCCUCGCUUUCAACCUUGCUAAAUAUUUUGAAUCACCUCUAUGCACUACCCUUGAUGUCAGUUUUCUGUGCUUGCCAAACGUUUUAGUGAUAAUUACAUUUUACAUGCCGAGGUGUCAUGUUUGUUGCUGCAGAACUUAUAAUUUGGUCGCAUUGGACUAGGCCUUUGUAAACCUGGUCUCUGAAUAUGUUGCUUGCUUCUUCAAAUUACAUUAUAAAAGAGAUUUAGGUAUCAUUUUUAUAGUUGUUUUCUCUCAAUGCACGUUAAGAACAAAGAUAUUGCUUCAAAAGCACCCGUGUGUGCUACUCGUUUCUAGUUGCAUGGAAAUCUUAAGCAUACACUUGAGUUGUGAUGAGUUUUCUCCUAGACAUCCUGUGUAAGAUCUUGACACAUUUGACAUUGUAUUUGCACAUCCUUCGUCUGCCUUCUUGUUUUUGAUGCAUGGCGGAUGCUGCUUGAUGGAUUUUUCUUCAGCGCAACAUUUGUCUCCAACUUUUUAUUUCAGUUUACGACAUUCUUAAGAUUCACAUGUUCCAUUUUCCAAUUUCUUUCUUGGUUAAUUUGUUUUGUUCAUUUCAGUCAUGUCUAUGUAUUUGUGUAUUAGACGCCUAUUCCUUUUCCCUAUCUAUGGUUGUGUUCCUAUGGUUUAUCUCUAGGUGCUUGAUAAGUUACGACGCGUUGCCUUACACUGCUGGCAUCCUUUUGGCUGUAGGUCAUAUUCUUGAAGCAAAUGAUCGCGUGGUUGUUUGCAAGGCAUGAACAAUUAUUCAGGUGCUGGAAUCUUACAUCCUGUAGGAACCGAAUAAGUUGAAUACUAUUUGAGUAUUUGUAGGCACUAAAUAUUUAAGCACAUUAGCUAGUUCUUAGCCAAAUUAAACCUGUAGUUGACUCAUUAGCAUGUCGAUAGGAUGCACUGGUAGAUGCAAGGUUCUCUAAAUGGACACUAAAUACUUUUCGUUGAGCUUAUGUUGGAAGUUAGUGAUUCGACCUAGGUACUACUAACUCCGAGAAGGGAUCGACCUUGGUUCAAACAUUUUUCAGUAGCGGUGUUUAACAUGCCGGAUCAACACUCUGAACCUUAUAAAUGAAUACUUCUUGAGUAUCAUGAUUCUGUUUCUUUUGUUCAGUUGAAGUAGGUCCGAUAACACUCUGAACCCUAUUGAUGAUUUGGGUGAUAAUCCCAUGGAUUUUGUCUGUUGUUCUCAAUAUGUCAGUCGUGACUGAAAAUGAACCUGAGUGAGAGCACCCAAAAUCAUGUAUGAAUUUUUUCUCAUUCGAAAUUGCCAAUGCAAAGUUGGUUCAUGCUCCGAUUCCAUUUCAUGGUCGUCUUAUUCUUGAAUGAACACAGGUGCUUAACAAUUCAGUGUGUGGUGCCGAUUAACAAUUUAGCACCAAGUUCAUAUUCAUCAGGUACAUAUGAAAGUACGUAACCAUUAGGCUACUGGUACUUGCUGACAGGUGCUAAGAUACAUAACCAUCAGGCUUAUUCUUUUUGUUUACAAAGCUGCUGCUUGCACUUGGGACAACUAAUCUAAAUUACUUAAAUUAGUACUUCCAUCACAGUUCAGAGUAGUUUUCUUAAAUUAGUACUUUCAGUGCUGAAUCAUAUGUUUGAAUAUCAUGGGUACUUAACAAAUAACUCUGAGGUUCUUAUUCAGUACCUAGCUAGAGAUAAUCAAGUACCUCAAUUCAUGGGUUGUUUUUGUGGGCAACAUGGGUACUGAAAGUAAGUUUGGAUGGUGCUUGAUGACUGAAAUAAUUUCUAGAUAAAUAGAGUUACUCGGAAAAUAAUUUAAGUGAAUCCAUGAUUAACCGUCGAUGCACAGGAAAGUGAGAUAGUUCAAGCAGGGUGCUGAUUCGUAUAGGUGCUUAACAAUUUAAUCUCAGGUGCUGAAUCAAGUGGUUUCUGGUGCUGAGUCAUUGAUCUCCUGGUAAUGAAUAAUGUGUAUGGAAAUAAGAUUCAGUUUUCACAUUUCCUCGCUGUCACCUGUGUAUGUAUGCUUCAGUGCCUUAUGUACUGCUCCUGUUUCAUUGCUUGUUAAUUCAUGCAUGUAGGUUCUGCGCACUUGACUAUACUUUUACCUUUUUGAAAGACGUGACAUCGCUUCUGUUUUGUGGACUUCAGACUUCUUUAUCUCAUUUCACUGCCUGUUGAUUGUAUAAGUUUGGACCGAACGGUACUACUGAAGAUUUUUGUUCUCUGCUUCACUACUGAAGUUUGGACCGAACGGUACUACUGAACAUUUCAUUUCCUUUGGACUGAAUAUGGCAGGCCUUUAAGAAACAUGCCUACAUACAUGUAAGAUGAACCAUUUCCUUUGGACUGAAUAAUGUAGUUAUCUGUCAGUUUGUCAUAUAGUUAUGCAGGUUUCCGAUAGUUUCGAGGUCGCCCAGCCACGUGCGAGCGGCGUAUUCUUUGCAUAUGUGUUGUCUGGUUGUCCAACUUUAGUAAGCUCAUUAUGUUGCUCGCUGCUGGUGCCAAGUGCACCUUAUAUGAGUGCUUAAAUAACGAUUGCUCUGAUGUGCUUAACUUUUUGCCUGGAGGUGCUGAAUCAUAUGGGCACUUAACAAAUUUCUUUGGGGUGCUGAAUCAGUUUUGGUACUUGCAAAUUUUUUUAGAGAUUGAUGUUCUACUUGGUAUUUUGGGGUGCUUAACAAAUUUCUUUGGGGUGCUGAAUCAACCAUAUCAUGGGUGAGGGUGCUGAAUGGCAUGCCUUGUGUAUGGUGCAUAUGAUGACAGGGUGGGGUUCUUGAUUUGAUUUUGAAUGUUCUUGCAUUGUUUAUAUUAGUGUGAUCUCUGUCUAAUUCCUGAUUUGUUUCCUACUGCUACAAAGUGUUGAAGCACUAAUCUUGAACGAGUAUAUUUAAUCGUUUGCUUGAACUUUGUGUAUGUAGAUUGAACGAGUAUAUUCCAAGUACCUGUGGUGUGAAAAACGUUUGUGCCUUGUGAAUAUGGUGAUUUAGUGUUUCCGGAGUGGGUACAGCUUAUGUGAUGAAGUAAAAGUUUAGGUGCUUAACAGGUUGCUCUGAUGUGCUGCAUCGUAUGGGUGCUUAAUAGGUUGCUCAGAGGUGCUGAAUCUUACAAACUAAAGAGCUAUGACAGUGUACUGUGUUCUGUAGGGGUGCUUAACAAGUUGCUCUGAGGUGCUGAAUCGUUUUAUAGACACCCUGCAGUCAACCAUCUUUCCCAGAGCAUUACACCAAGGCAUGUCCUUUCUUUGCUCAUGGUUUUUCAUAUUGCUAUGACAGUGCUCUUUUGUGGUAGUGGUCUUUCAUCAUUCAGUACUUGAUUAUAGUUCUGUCGGUACCUGGGGUGAUACUUGAUUUGUUUGGGAACAGAUCAAGUUCUUUGGAUCACUUGUGUCACUAAAAUUAAUUGGAUGCCACUAAAGUGCACAUUCUGUUGCAGUUGACAUUUGACAGUGAUUACUUUUUAAUGUUGCUCUAAACUAUAGAUAAAUGAUGUCAGGAGUAUUUAUACUGACUUUUAUCAUUCAGUUCCUGGAUCCAUAUCUGUCUGUACCUAGAUGACCCUUGUUUUGUUUGUGGGUGCUUAACAGGUUGCUCUGAGGUGCUGAAUCAUGUGGGUGCUUAACAGGUUGCUCUGAGGUGCUGAAUCUAACAAACUAAAGAGCUAUGACAUGGUUUUGUGACCCGUGACAGCUAUGGCACCCUAACGGUGCAAUGUUCCCGCUGGUGUUCCCAUUUGCCGGAGAAGAUGGUGCUUUGUCGAUGGAGUGUAGCAAAUUCCUCUGAUGCGCUGAAUCAUUGGUUUUCUAGUACCGAAUUGCCGGUGAAGAUGGUGCUUUGUCGAUGCACCCCUUACGCUAUAUGCACAGGUACUCAACAAGUUCAGACAUGGUGCCGAAUAAUUUGAGAAAAGCAGUUUUUUCUUGAGCUUUCUGCAGACCAUGGUAUAUUGAGCUGUAUGCACAGGUACUUGACAAGUUCAGACAUGGUGCCGAAUAAUUUGAGAAAAGCUGUUUUAUUUUGCCAUGUUGGGUCAUUUCAACGUUGGGUGCUGAACCAUGUUGUCAGCAGUGUAUGUAUACAACCAAAGUAGGGAUUUUCAAAGCCCAUUCCCUGGGAGACAGCUUUCCAUGACACAUUAGGGAUGAAUUCACGUGAAGAAAAUCGGCAUGGAUGCUUUGAGCCCAUGUGACGCCACUUCUAGGUACCGAAUCACCCUGCUUUGGCCAGCCCAUGUGAAUCUACUGGUUAAGUACCUGAACGGAUUCAAAUUUUGAAUAUUUGGCACCGAAGCCCAUGUACUGUCCACAGACAGAGUUGCAGGCGGCCCAACAGACGGUGCAGUCUGCUGUUUGCCUGAAACACAUGAUUUUUUGAACUGCACAUUUGGAAAUCGGCUGACUUCAUGCACUGUAUAGCGUGUGGCGACUGUACAUGUUUCCUUAUUUGCCUUGGGCUGACAAUGGGCAGCUUUCGUA